rnacentral:rRNA from 1 species
GUCCACGCCCUAAACGAUGUCAACUGGUUGUCGGGGAAGUAAUUCCUUGGUAACGAAGCUAACGCGUGAAGUUGACCGCCUGGGGAGUACGGCCGCAAGGUUAAAACUCAAAGGAAUUGACGGGGACCCGCACAAGCGGUGGAUUAUGUGGAUUAAUUCGAUGCAACGCGAAAAACCUUACCUACCCUUGACAUGUCAGGAAGCCUGCAGAGAUGCAGGGGUGCCCGAAAGGGAACCUGAACACAGGUGCUGCAUGGCUGUCGU